rnacentral:rRNA from 1 species
GAUGAACGCUAGCGGGAGGCUUAACACAUGCAAGUCGAGGGGCAGCAUAGGGUAGCAAUACUCUGAUGGCGACCGGCAAACGGGUGAGUAACGCGUAUGCAACCUACCCUGUACAGGGGGAUAACCCGGAGAAAUUCGGACUAAUAUCCCGUAAUAAUAUCCGGAGGCAUCUUUGGAUAUUUAAAGUUCCGACGGUACGGGAUGGGCAUGCGUAACAUUAACUGGUUGGUAAGGUAACGGCUUACCAAGGCUAUGAUGUUUAGGGGUCCUGAGAGGGUGGUCCCCCACACUGGUACUGAGACACGGACCAGACUCCUACGGGAGGCAGCAGUGAGGAAUAUUGGUCAAUGGGCGCAAGCCUGAACCAGCCAUCCCGCGUGCAGGAAGACGGCCCUAUGGGUUGUAAACUGCUUUUCCAGGGAGAGAAACUUACGCACGUGUUGCGUGACUGACGGUACCCUGGGAAUAAGCAUCGGCUAACUCCGUGCCAGCAGCCGCGGUAAACUAGUCUAG